rnacentral:tRNA from 1 species
GCUGACGUAGCUCAGUUGGUUAGAGCGUAGGACUCAUAAACCUAAGGUCGGAGGUUCAAUUCCUCCCGUCAGCACCA